GAAAAAAAAAAGAAGGUUGCCCUUUGUUAAAAUUUCACAUGCUUCUCACUUUCCUAAGUCUUAUCAAAGUUCUAAAUCCUUUUUCUAGCAAGUGUGAGACUCUUCAAAAAAUACUUUCUGCAGAGAUCAAAAUUCUACAUUUCAGAUUGGGUUAAAUACAUUUUAUAAUUCGUCCCGCAGCUGUUGGAGAUAUAGGGGAGUAAAAUGAGAAUUACUCUCAACAGAGCAGUUUUGAAAAUGAAACCAAAUCUUCAUGCUCAACUUGACAUUGGAAUUUAAAGUUAUUUUUACAGGCUCCACUGCAGUCACUAUGUGAAACAUUAAAAAACGUAAUAGAAUAUAAUGUUAAGAGUUAAAGCAUUUCUUUUCUUCCAACAGUGUGAAAAGCAAAAUAAAAAAACAGGAGUACAAAUUAUAUCUUGUUAUCACCUUUCACGCUUUUCCAUAUUUACGCUUUUAACCAAACAACACAUUUUCCUGUGGAAGAUGUUUCCUUCCUUUUAAUGAUCCCCAGAGUUGCUGCCUCGGCAGGUAAAGCUUUUCUUAACUUGAAAACAUGUUGGGUGUGCGUUGGGGAUGAGAGAGCAAAUCCUUCAAGGAAAAUCACAUUUCCUCUGAGAUGCAGUGAGAUAUGUAAGUAGAACCGUUACUAGUCCUUGAAACAUGGAGGGGCGGGAACAGUUUCAGAAAUCCCUCCUGGGGACAGAUUUACUUUUGAUUGUAGAAAAUUGUGGCUGUAUGACAUCACUGAAAUCAAAUAGAAAAAAACGAAGGAGGAAUACCCUUCGUGAUUGAGCUCAAGAAAGAAGGAAGCUAAGCAAAAGCACGCGCAUGGAAAAGCUGCAUCCACUUUGUACUGGCAUGGCAGGACCGGGCCAGUCCUGUGGACCUGCACUGCCUUUGCCUGCUGUCCUGCUCUACUUCCUCUUUAUUUGCAUUCCUUGUCCACACGUGCUCAUCCUGGUCCUGGCCUUGAGAAGAUCCACCUGCUUUUCUGUGAUUUGAGAGAUGGCAAGUGGUUCACAAAACACCUAUUUCUGGUUUGAAAUAUGAGUUGUGGUUUCCUACUCAUUAAACAUUUGCUAUGUUUUUAAGACACUUUGUCUAAGAGUUGCUAAAGUGCUUGUAAAGUAAUGGUUGUUGCGGGAGUUCUCAAAUUCCCCGAGGAACUAAUCUUUUCGUUGUUAUUCUUUAAAUAGAACUGGAAUUUGCUUAAGAUGGCAGUGGGUACCUGUGGUGAUUUCUAAGACAGGAGUUGAGGGAGGAUACCAAGUCACAUGCAUGUGUGAUCUUUGGGUUAAAAAGCAAAUUCCUCACUUUGAGAGCUCAGCUGAGUCCUUUCCUUUGGAGAAAUAGAAGAAAAAAAAAUUCCAGCAGCCUUGGUAAGCGUUCUUGUCACACGUUUAAUCCACUCACGGUACAGAACUUGAUCUGCAAUUUAGCGGUACCAUGUGAGGUGAUGGGUGGGGUGUGGUCUUUGGGCCACAGGAAACCUCAAGCAUGCGAAGCUGGAUGGUGACCUCUGGAAGCCACGGGGCUGUGAGGACGGUGUGCCAAUUACCGGGCAAAACAACAGCCAGCAAUUUCUACACACCCAUCAGGAGAUAUGAAAAACAGAGUGCAUACAUUUUUUAAUUUAGUGCAUUUUUGCUGGUCAAUAAAUGUAUAAUAAUCAUCGUCA
ensembl:lncRNA